rnacentral:rRNA from 1 species
GACGAACGCUGGCGGCGUGCUUAACACAUGCAAGUCGAACGGAAAGGCCCUGCUUUUGUGGGGUGCUCGAGUGGCGAACGGGUGAGUAACACGUGAGUAACCUGCCCUUGACUUUGGGAUAACUUCAGGAAACUGGGGCUAAUACCGGAUAGGAGCUCCUGCUGCAUGGUGGGGGUUGGAAAGUUUCGGCGGUUGGGGAUGGACUCGCGGCUUAUCAGCUUGUUGGUGGGGUAGUGGCUUACCAAGGCUUUGACGGGUAGCCGGCCUGAGAGGGUGACCGGCCACGUUAGAACGGGGAUACGGCCCAGCCUCCAACCGGAGGGAACGGUGGAGAAUAGUGUCCAAUGGGCGGAAGCCAGGUGCGACGACGCCGCGUGCGGGAUGACGGCCUUCUGGUUGUAAACCGAUUUCGUCUGUGCGGAAGCGUGAGUGACGGUAAUGGGUAAAGAAGCACCGGCUAACUACGUG